rnacentral:rRNA from 1 species
CCUACGGGGGGCAGCAGUGAGGAAUAUUGGUCAAUGGGCGGGAGCCUGAACCAGCCAAGUAGCGUGAAGGAUGACUGCCCUACGGGUUGUAAACUUCUUUUAUAAAGGAAUAACGUGAGGCCCGUGUGCCUUUUUGUAUGUACUUUAUGAAUAAGGAUCGGCUAAUUCCGUGCCAGCAGCCGCGGUAAUACGGAGGAUCCGAGCGUUAUCCGGAUUUAUUGGGUUUAAAGGGAGCGUAGAUGGGGUGUUAAGUCAGUUGUGAAAGUUUGGGGCUCAACCGGAAAAUUGCAAUUGAUACUGGCAGCCUUGAGUACAGUGGAGGUAGGCGGAAUUCGUGGUGUAGCGGUGAAAUGCUUAGAUAUCACGAAGAACUCCGAUUGCGAAGGCAGCCUACUAAACUGCCACUGACAUUGAUGCUCGAAAGUGUGGGUAUCAAACAGGAUUAGAUACCCGAGUAGUC